UAGUUUUUAUAGACACCUUCUCAGAUUAGGUUGAAACAUAGGAUAGAAAGUGCCUCUGUAGUAGUCAAGAAAUUACUCCAGGAGAUCAUACCUAGAUUCGAGCUGCCAGUAGUUAUAGGAUCAGAUAACAGCCCAGCCUUUGUAGCAAGGUAUCUCAAAGUAUAGCUCAAGCCUUAGGACAGGCAUGAGUAGAACUCUAAAAAGUUUAAUUAAAUUUGUCCUAAAAACCGGUGAAAAUUAGACCAACCCCCUGCCCUUCACCCUCUUAUGGGCCAGGUGUACUCUCUAACGGGAGAGGUUCCCCCCCCCCUUUGUUGAGAUCGUGUAUGGUAGACCUCCCUCCAUUCAUCCUGGGGUCAGGGAGAAACUGAAAGCUGGAAUUCAUAACUAUUCCCUUGCUCAAGUCCUUAUAAGCUCUGCAGUUAACCCAGAGAGCCACCCGUAAGCUUGUUCCAGAUACACUGCCAGUGCCCACCGUGGACCCUGUACACCCCUUCCAGCCCGGAGACUCAGGACUCUGUGUGUAAAAUGACC